GUGAGGAAUAUUGGUCAAUGGGCGGGAGCCUGAACCAGCCAAGUCGCGUGAAGGAAGAAGGAUCUAUGGUUCGUAAACUUCUUUUGCAGGGGAAUAAAGUGCAGGACGUGUCCUGUUUUGUAUGUACCCUGAGAAUAAGGAUCGGCUAACUCCGUGCCAGCAGCCGCGGUAAUACGGAGGAUCCGAGCGUUAUCCGGAUUUAUUGGGUUUAAAGGGUGCGUAGGUGGUUUGAUAAGUCAGCGGUGAAAGUUUGCAGCUUAACUGUAAAAAUGCCGUUGAAACUGUCGGACUUGAGUGUAAAUGAGGUACGCGGAAUGCGUGGUGUAGCGGUGAAAUGCAUAGAUAUCACGCAGAACUCCGAUUGCGAAGGCAGCUUACUAAGCUACAACUGACACUGAAGCACGAAAGCGUGGGGAUCAAACAGGAUUAGAAACCCGAGUAGUCC
rnacentral:rRNA from 1 species